UGGGUAACCUGCCCAUAAGACUGGGAUAACUCCGGGAAACCGGGGCUAAUACCGGAUAANAUUUUGAACUGCAUGGUUCGAAAUUGAAAGGCGGCUUCGGCUGUCACUUAUGGAUGGACCCGCGUCGCAUUAGCUAGUUGGUGAGGUAACGGCUCACCAAGGCAACGAUGCGUAGCCGACCUGAGAGGGUGAUCGGCCACACUGGGACUGAGACACGGCCCAGACUCCUACGGGAGGCAGCAGUAGGGAAUCUUCCGCAAUGGACGAAAGUCUGACGGAGCAACGCCGCGUGAGUGAUGAAGGCUUUCGGGUCGUAAAACUCUGUUGUUAGGGAAGAACAAGUGCUAGUUGAAUAAGCUGGCACCUUGACGGUACCUAACCAGAAAGCCACGGCUAACUACGUGCCAGCAGCCGCGGUAAUACGUAGGUGGCAAGCGUUAUCCGGAAUUAUUGGGCGUAAAGCGCGCGCAGGUGGUUUCUUAAGUCUGAUGUGAAAGCCCACGGCUCAACCGUGGAGGGUCAUUGGAAACUGGGAGACUUGAGUGCAGAAGAGGAAAGUGGAAUUCCAUGUGUAGCGGUGAAAUGCGUAGAGAUAUGGAGGAACACCAGUGGCGAAGGCGACUUUCUGGUCUGUAACUGACACUGAGGCGCGAAAGCGUGGGGAGCAAACAG
rnacentral:rRNA from 1 species